rnacentral:rRNA from 1 species
AAUGAACGCUGGCGGCGUGCUUAACACAUGCAAGUCGAGCGAGAAAGGUCCUUCGGGACUGAGUAAAGCGGCGGACGGGUGAAAAACGCGUGAGAACCUGCACUUCAGUGGAGAAUACCCUCGAGAAAUCGAGGCUAAUACUGCAUACGUCCCUACGGGGAGAAAGGUGGCUUUAUGCUGCCGCUGAGGAAUGGGCUUGCGUGCUAUUAGCUAGUUGGUGAGGUAACGGCUCACCAAGGCGAUGAUGGCUAACCGGCCUGAGAGGGUGUACGGUCACAUUGGAACUGAGAAACGGUCCAGACUCCUACGGGAGGCAGCAGUGAGGAAUAUUGCGCAAUGGGCGAAAGCCUGACGCAGCGACGCCGCGUGAAGGAUGAAGGUCUUCGGAUUGUAAACUUCUGUUAAACGGGAAGAAAGACCCACUAGUAAUAUGAGUGGGGGAUGACGGUACCGUUAGAGAAAGCACCGGCUAACCUCGUGCCAGCAGCCGCGGUAAUACGAGGGGUGCAAGCGUUAUUCGGAAUGACUGGGCGUAAAGGGUGUGUAGACGGUAUGUUAAGUCUAUUGUUAAAUUCCUCGGCCUAACCGAGGGUCAGCGAUAGAAACUGGUGUACUAGAGGGUGGAAGAGAGAAGUGGAAUUCUCGGAGUAGCGGUAAAAUGCGUAGAUCUCGAGAGGAACACCAAUGGCGAAGGCAGCUUCUUGGUCCAUACCUGACGUUGAGACACGAAAGCGUGGGGAGCAAACAGGAUUAGAUACCCUGGUAGUCCACGCUGUAAACGAUGAUCACUAGACGUCGGCCUAGCUUAGCUGGGUUGGUGUCGGAGCUAACGCGUUAAGUGAUCCGCCUGGGGAGUACGGUCGCAAGAUUAAAACUCAAAGGAAUUGACGGGGGUCCGAACAAGCGGUGGAACAUGUGGUUUAAUUCGACAGUACGCGAGGAACCUUACCUGGGCUUGACAUGCAUCUGACCGUUGUAGAAAUACAAUUUUCUAGGCUUCGGUCUAGACAAAUGCACAGGUGCUGCAUGGCUGUCGUCAGCUCGUGUCGUGAGAUGUUGGGUUAAGUCCUCUAACGAGCGCAACCCUUGCUGUCAGUUGCUAUCUGCCUUGUGCAGAGCACUCUGAUGGGACUGCCUGGGAAACCAGGAGGAAGGCGGGGACGACGUCAAGUCAUCAUGGUCCUUAUGUCCAGGGCUACACACGUGUUACAAUGGUCGGUACAAAAGGAUGCAAACCCGCGAGGGCAAGCAAAACCUAAAAAGCCGAUCUAAGUUCGGAUUGGGGUCUGCAACUCGACCCCAUGAAGUUGAAAUCGCUAGUAAUCGCGUAUCAGCAACGACGCGGUGAAUACGUUCACGGGCCUUGUACACACCGCCCGUCACACCACGAAAGCUGUUUGUACCCAAAAUCGCUUUAGCUAACCUGAAAAGGAGGCGGGCGCUUAAGGUAUGAAUAGUGAUUGGGGUG